AGAAGACCCCAUAAAACGUGUGAGGUUCUACAAAAAGCAAAACCCAGAUGAGGCCGGGCCUAUCGACAAAGCUGAGGUAUCUCUACUUCUUCCAGAGCACUUUGAAGAGAAGAAGUGUAGAAUUUACACAAAGAGAACAAAUAAAGAGGAUCUGGAGGCUGACAGAGAGCUCUUUAACACAUUUGACCCUGCAAAACCACGUCAAGCCUGAGGUAUUUCUGUAGGCUGUAAUCAGGGGUGCUGCCAGGAAUCUUGGGCCC